rnacentral:rRNA from 1 species
ACGCUCGACACCUACGGGAGGAGCAGUGGGGAAUAUUGCACAAUGGGGGAAACCCUGAUGCAGCGACGCCGCGUGAGUGAAGAAGUAUUUCGGUAUGUAAAGCUCUAUCAGCAGGGAAGAAGAUGACGGUACCUGAGUAAGAAGCCCCGGCUAACUACGUGACAGCACGCCGGUACGGUAAUCUGAGGCGGGCGUGGACGAAGGC